rnacentral:rRNA from 1 species
CCUACGGGUGGCUGCAGUGGGGGAUAUUGCACAAUGGGGGAAACCCUGAUGCAGCAACGCCGCGUGAGUGAAGAAGGUCUUCGGAUUGGAAAGCUUUGUUCUUGGUGAAGAAAAUGACGGUAGCCAAGGAGAAAGCACCGGCUAACUACGAGACAGCAGCCGCGGCAAUACGUAGGGAGCGAGCGUUGUCCGGAUUUACUGGGGUUAAAGGGGGCGCAGGCGGCUCUGCAAGUCAGGCGUGAAAGCGAGGGGCAAAACCCCUAAACUGCGCUUGAAACUGUGGGGCUUGAGUGAAGUAGAGGCAGGCGGAAUUCCCGGUGUAGCGGUGAAAUGCGUAGAGAUCGGGAAGAACACCAGUGGCGAAGGCGGCCUGCUGGGCUUUAACUGACGCUCAGGCACGAAAGCAUGGGUAGCAAACAGGAUUAGAUACCCCAGUAGUC